rnacentral:pre_miRNA from 1 species
UACAUACUCCCUCCAUUCGGAAUUACUCGUCCAAGAAAUGAAUGUAUCUAGAUGUAUUUUAGUUGUAGAUACAUCCAUUUUUGUGACAAGUAAUUCCGAACGGAGGGAGUACUAC